rnacentral:rRNA from 1 species
GUUGACCUCGGAUCGGGUAGGGAUACCCGCU